AAGAUGGGCAAGUGGAUAGAGUGCAGGUCCGCAAAAGUUGUCUUGAUAGAGAGCAGGUCAGUCCGGGUUGUGUUGAUAGAGGGCAGGUCAGUCCGGGUUGUGUUGAUAGAGGGCAGGUCAGUCCGGGUUGUGUUGAUAGAGGGCAGGUCAGUCCGGGUUGUGUUGAUAGAGGGCAGGUCAGGUUGAUAGAAGACAGGGCAACCAGGUUAUCUUU